UACGUAGGGGGCAAGCGUUGUCCGGAUUUAUUGGGCGUAAAGAGCGUGUAGGCGGCUAGGUAGGUCCGUUGUGAAAACUCGAGGCUCAACCUCGAGACGUCGAUGGAAACCAUCUAGCUAGAGUCCGGAAGAGGAGAGUGGAAUUCCUGGUGUAGCGGUGAAAUGUGUAGAGAUCGGGAGGAACACCGGUGGCGAAGGCGGGUCUCUGGGCAACUCCUGACGCUGAGGCGCGAAAGCGUGGGGAGCGAACAGG
rnacentral:rRNA from 1 species